GGGAGGGCUCUUCUCCGGCAUGUUGCUUUUAUUCUUGUGCAGAUUUCGUUUCAAUCCUUUUAAAUUCUUGUUCAUUUUUCAUUUGUCCGUGUUUUCAGCGUGCGCCACAGAAGUGUGUUGAUAUCUGAUUGGUGGUACGAAGACUUCCUACUGGACACCCCCGAACCCUCGCUGGGCGCCAACUUCGGAUGGGUCUUCGGCAUACCCUUCGCAAUCAUCAUCGUCCACUUUAUCCUCUACACUCUGCUGGUGUAUCUGGUGUUGCGGCCGGAAAGAGAGUCCACUCCCACCAGCUUCUACCAGAUCAUGGCCAACGAUGACUCAUACAUCACUCGAUUCAUUCAGUUCUUCUCCGAACGAGCCGUGACUCAGUACGCUGUGUACACUUUCCUGUACUUAGUGGGGGUGGGGGUCGCGCUUCUCCUAGCUGUGGUCUGGUGGGAAAGCGAAGAGAGCUGUGCCAUCGUCCUCUGCCUUCAGUCUAUCGCCCCCCUCUGGAAUGGCGGAGAGUUCUACGUCAAGAUACUCGCACCCAAAAAUUUUGACCCCGCCUCAUAUUGAACUUUUAUAUACUGAAAAAGUAACACACGCUCAUACGUAAAAUCAAUUUCGAAUCUCAAGUGGUUGAAAUCAUUUCAUUUUGGUUGACGAUAAUCAAUCAAGAUAAUGACGAAACGUUUGAAAAACGUCGAUAAUUAAAAGCACAAAAUGAACUCAUAAAUUUGGUAAAUGCGACCUAAAAUAAAACGAAGAAAAACCAUCUGAAUACCUUUUUCAAAUAAAUCAUAUCAAAUUAUAUCAGUGAAUUUAAUCUAUCACAUCCACAGCGUCGAUUAUUUUUGUAGAAAAGUUGUAAAUUUAAUUGUAAAUAGAACUAGUAGAAAAAAAGAAGUUGUUAUUUUUGUUUCUGAA